ensembl:piRNA 21ur-3938 ncRNA
GACAAGUGCCCUUGAAUUUUU